rnacentral:lncRNA from 1 species
AGAAAAGACCAUGGAUCUACUAGUUGCAGAUUUCAGCAGUAAUGCCAAGGGGGCAAGAAGUGACCAGCAGAACAAUUAGGCCAUGGCAACAGAAGCCAACUACAACCCAUGUUCCAAUCUAUGACCUCCCUCUCCUGCUGGUACAAGGAUAUGAAUGUGGCUGUAGCAUCAUUUUUGGAAGCCAGAAUGGUAAUACUGAAAAUCACUGCUUGUCUCAAGAUCCAACUUCUGGAAAUCUCAACCAUUCUGAAUACAGCCAUCAUUCUUAAAAUUGAAGAGAACUGUUUUACAAGAUCUUGACUUGUAAAGAAACCAAGUUUAUUAAGUAUUCCUUAGAGCAAAGGAUGCAAUGUCAAGCAAGUUGUGAUACCUCAACUAUCUACAAUUUAACACCAAGGAAAGAACACUGUUUGGAGAAAUGAGAAAGAUUAUCAUCAGUGUCUUUCAGAAGUCAUCAAAAGAAGAAAAGGAGAAAAGAGAGGAGAAAGCAGAAAGAUCUGGAGUCUGGGAAGUUCAAGAGCAUGGCACCAACAUCUGGCAAGGGCUUUCAUUCUGCAUCAUCUCAUGGAGGAAAAUAAAAAGAUUUCAGGUAAAUCCAGAUUUGGAGCUUAAAUGACUCAAAUGCUUUGCCUACAUUGAUCCUACAUUCAGGCUGCUUACAUAUCUCUUGGCUUCUCUGAGAACCAGAUUGUCACCACUUAAAGUGUCUUCCAGAGUCCUCACGAGUAUCAGAGAAGGCAUAAUCUGUACACGUGGCUUCAUUUAAAAUGAAAAUAUCAAGCAGUGUCAUUUUCACAAGUAUCCCCACACUGUCUGAGGCUGAAAAGAAGAGUGUAGCUAUGCACACUGCAGUGAGAAGAAAAUUUCAGCUCAAUUGGAGGAUGUAAAGAUUGAAAUACCACUGCUCCUAGUUCUGAUGCAAAAUUGAAAAGAGUGCACUGGGUCUUCAAAUGGCAUAUUGACAAGGAGAAAGAGGAAAGGAUGCCCCAGGACAGCCUGGGGGUCAAGGCUGGGCUCAGGCAUGCCUGGACAAGCCAUGCAAGUUGUCUCCGGACUUGAACCACGUAUCAGAGGAGCUAUUUGAGGAGCCACAUCAGCAUACCUGCUUCUGUGGGCCCCCAGGCUGUGGUGCUCAGCCCUUGCACUAUGAAACAUUUUUUUUUUCCAGAAGCCAAAGCUUUGAGCAUCUCCUCCCAUGUAGAGAGUGUAUAUGUUUACGUCCAUGUCUUUCGCCAUGUGAACGCAUGCAACCACCACCUCAAAUAUCAUAAAUCCUCUCUCUCCCCCUUUCUGUCUGCCUGUUUAUCUACAAUCUGUCUAUUUAAAUUCUUUUUAAACAAGAAGGGAAUAUCUUUAUGCCUGUUUGUAGGGAUAUUCUACAUCCAUCUGUUAUUUACAUCAUUCGUUUUCCUGAGGUGUCUCCAACAAAUCCUGGCUGGAUGCACUGUAUGUGUUAUUAAUAAAACAGCUGUAAAAAUA